AGCGAACGCUGGCGGCAGGCCUAACACAUGCAAGUCGAGCGCGUGUAGCAAUACACGAGCGGCAGACGGGAGAGUAACACGUGGGAACGUACCCUUCAGUUCGGAACAACCAAGGGAAACUUUGGCUAAUACCGGAUACGUCCGUAAGGAGAAAGAUUUAUCGCUGAAGGAUCGGCCCGCGUCUGAUUAGCUAGUUGGUGAGGUAACGGCUCACCAAGGCGACGAUCAGUAGCUGGUCUGAGAGGAUGAUCAGCCUCACUGGGACUGAGACACGGCCCAGACUCCUACGGGAGGGCAGCAGUGGGGAAGUAAUUGGACAAUGGGCGGCAAGCCUGAUCCAGCCAUGCCGCGUGAGUGAUGACGGCCUUUAGGGUUGUAAAGACUCUUUCAUCAGGGACGGAUAAUGACGGUACCUGAAGAAGAAGCCCCGGCCUAACUUCGUGCCAGCAGCC
rnacentral:rRNA from 1 species